rnacentral:rRNA from 1 species
UAAGAGCACGUGGUGGAUGCCUUGGCAAUGAUAGGCGACGAAGGACGUGAUAGCCUGCGAUAAGCCUCGGGGAGCUGGCAAACAAGCUUUGAUCCGAGGAUUUCUGAAUGGGGCAACCCACGGCUUAGGCCGUAUCCCGCAAGGGAGGCUAACGCAGGGAACUGAAACAUCUAAGUACCUGGAGGAAGAGAAAGAAACUUCGAUUCCCUGAGUAGCGGCGAGCGAAACGGGAAGAGCCCAAACCAACAAGCUUGCUUGUUGGGGUUGUAGGACACUCUAUACGGAGUUACAAAAGAACAUGUUAGACGAAUCAUCUGGAAAGAUGAAUCAAAGAAGGUAAUAAUCCUGUAGUCGAAAACAUAUUCUCUCUUGAGUGGAUCCUGAGUACGACGGAGCACGUGAAAUUCCGUCGGAAUCUGGGAGGACCAUCUCCUAAGGCUAAAUACUCUCUAGUGACCGAUAGUGAACAAGUACCGUGAGGGAAAGGUGAAAAGUACCCCGGGAGGGGAGUGAAAUAGUACCUGAAACC